UGAUUAUAUUAGCAGCUCUCUUGAUGAGAAAAAGGGGUGAAACCCUUUUAUUGAGCAUCUGUUAUAUAUUAGCAAUUUAUUUAGAUUAUCUUAUUUAAUCUUCUCACUUCAGAUAAGUGAUAUUAUUCUAAUUUAGGGGCAUGAGGUUCAGUGACUUUAGGGAGUUGCAUGGUGGCCCCAAAAAGAUACGUCCACAUCCUCACCCCCAGGAUCUGUGAAUGUUACCUUUAUGGCAAAAGAUGUGAUAAAGUUCAGGAUCUCGAGAGGAGGAGCUGAUCCUCAGUGGAUCCUAGAUGUGGUCACACGUAUCCUCAUGAGACAGACACACAAAGGAGAAGACACAGAGAGGAGGAGGCCAUGUGGCUACAGGAGAGGAGAGGGGAGGGAUGCGGCUACAAGCCACGGAGGGCCUGCAACCACUGGAAACUGCAAGAGUCAUUGUAGGUCUCAGGAAGGAAGGAGCAAUGAGAGGCUUGUGAAGGGAGGAAGCUCUGCGGAGCCCUCACGAGCAUCACGUGCCUUUGAGGAGUGCCGGACCAUGGAGUCUCAAAGGAAAUCUGCCUUUCUGGAGAGGAACAAACUCACAUUUAUUAAGUGCCAAUAAUGUGCAGGAACUCUACUAGUAACUUAAUAUGUUAUCAUUUUGUCUAAUUAGCAGGGAAUAGGAAGAGUUGAAUAAUGUCUUUGUUUAUGUAAUUUGGCUAUAAAGUAAAGCAAAAUUCUGCCGGGUGAAUGCAAUUUCCUAUUGACUUUCACAUCGCAUUGGACACCCUCCUUGUGGCCAUGGCUGCUCAGGUGAUCUCUCUUUCCUGGAAGUUUCACUUUUCACACAGGCAAUUAUCAUAGCAAAUUUGUGUCAUCUCAGUCAUAAUCAGGCCUAUUUGAAGGGAUGUUGUCAUUAACAGUUUAGUUCCAAAUACAUAUUUUCCCCUAAGUAGGUUGGAACUAACAUAGUGUUGUUGUUUCCAGAGCCAAAGACAAGAAGGCCACAUUUGUGUUUUAAGUCUUAGGAUCCUAAUUUCUUAAUUCCAUACAUUGGAUCCUUGCUGUCUGAGUUUCCACAGGGCCUAGGGAAGAGAUAGGACCCAAGCCGUCAUCAGGCUGUCCUUGCAGGCUUCUUGCAGAGUCGCUGGAAUACUUGAUUGUUUUUCAGUAUUUCAGCAGCUUCCUCUAUGAGGAUGUGUUCACCUCACCCACAGAAGCCCUUUUCAAAUGUUACUGAGAAGACUGAUAAGAAGAAGAAGCAUCCACUGAUGAGUUCUCGGAAAGAAAGCAUCCGAUUUAACUACAGGGCAAGAGCGCUGAGUCCCACAGGCCCGGCUGACAGCGAGGGAGCCAGGCGGCACCCGCUCUUCCCAGAGUGGUGCAGGAAAGAGGCGACCACAUGAAUGUUCACUGCAUGUCGUCUGAGGCUCACCAUAGUCACCGCAACUCCAGUUAGGGGGUGCUCGAUGGCUUGGCAUGUGACCACACUCAGAGCUGCCCAAGAAAGCGGACCUGGAAGGACCAGCCAGUCCCUGAGCCCAUGCGUGUCCCUGACGCGCCACAGUGUUCUUCACGGCUCCUUUACUUUCGUACUCAUCUUAGACGUCUAUAAAGAUCACGUGUCUGUGUGAACACAGGACAAGCACAGUUCUCCGGUGUUGAUGGGGAUAUAAAAUUUUACCUUGCCUUCUUUGACCACAGUGUGAAAUUUCAAAGUAUAAACAUGAUCGAAAAAAGAGUGUCUUCAAAAACAGAGAAACAACAGCAUUUCAUUUUCCCAGAACCUUUCCAGGCUCAGUCAGACGGCUGCCCAGCAGCCACUAGAAACAACACCCCAUUCCCCACACCACCCCCGCCUGUAAGUAAGGGGCACCAUCAACGCUGAGAAAGAAAUUGCCACAGUAACAAAACUUAUGGGAGUGGAUAACUUCUCACAGAACUUGCCAAUCAGCCACAGACGCAGAUCUGCCUUCCUUCUCCCUCACUCCACCCUUAGCUCAGGAGAACAGCCUAAACCCUCAGGAGAAGCUGCCUUUCAGCCGAAGAAGAAGGCUCCACACGACACGGCCGUGUUGGAGUAUUUUGCUUGUGCUUCCUUUCCGUCUUCUUUACUACGCAGAUGUGUGUGUGUGUAAGUGUGUGUUGUGUUGCUUUGCUUUUUCUCUUUGCUCAGGGUUCAGAAGAGUUAUGAUUUCAACUGAAGACAUCACACGAAUGUGGCUAAAAAAGCAAACAAUACAGAAAUGUAUGAAAUAAAAUCAAAUGUCUCCGUCUCCACACCCUCACCGUUCCCCAAUUCUCUCGGACUUCCUAAGAACAGAAAUUCUGUGAGGAGAGGAGAGUGUGUGUACAGGGGGAGGUGGGGGGUCGGAGGGAGAGAAAGAGGCUUGAUAUUGUCUUAUUUAUAAUUUAAAAAAAUAUAUUGCACACAUACACACUCCUCCCUUCAUCUCCCCUCCACCCAAAAAAAGAAAAAAUGGAACAAAACAAACAAGAAAACCAAACUUCUGCUGUUCGGAAGUCUAAGAGAAUUGCUGGUUAAAGGUCUUUCAGAUUAAGCUCGUUCCAAAGACAUUUCCAGUGUAACCAAACAAUGAGAAGCAUUGGUGUCCAGCCAGCCGCAGCCCCUGCCGCCUCCGGUUUAGAGCAAUUUCAUGAUGAUUAACUCAAAGAGAAGACAGAGAUGGGUUCACGGAAUAAGAAAACAAACAACUCAAAAUUCCCCUCUAUUUAUUUAUAUUUAAACUAUCUUAUUUUUAUCCAUUAUUUUAGAUAAUAAAUUUAUGUGCUUUUAGGAUGAUUUUCUUUGGUAGGGAAAAAUCUCUUAGGCCUUGCAUUUUCUCCUUAAUUAUAAAGGGUUGUGGAAUGUUUUCUGAGAACAGAAAUCUUUCCUCAAGGAAUUAUUUUUCCUAGAAUGUUAGGAGGGUCUCUAGGUAAGCAAUGAUGUCAGUGCAAAUGUUUUACUUCUCUCCUCUUCCAUCCAAGUUGGCUUAAUAUGUUUUAGUUCUAUUACGUGACUAUUUUUAGAACAGAUUGGAAAAUUUGCUCACCAAGAGAACAAUGAUUAACUAAAUCUGUAAAGUGCCAUUUCACUAUCAAUAAAAAGAAAAUCUAAACCCACAACUAAUGGCCCCGAGUUUCCUGCUUGCGUAGAGGAGUCUCUUUAGACCAAAGUGUUAUUUUUGAAAUCUUUAGGUUUUUUUCUUCCUUUCCCCACGUCAUUCUACCUUUUAAAAAACUUAUCCACUCUAUUAAUAAUAAAGAAAUAUACUCCCAAUCUUCACCCUCUUUUUAGCUACACACUUGAGUCUCAUGGUCAGGUUUUCCUCCGAGCACCUCUUCCAGAUUUGCCGUGAGACAGUGUAGAGCAUUGGUUAGGAGUGUGGGCUCUGGAAACAGCCUGUCCUGACUCCAGACCUGACGAGCUAUCUGGCUUAGAUUAAUUUUCCUAAUCUCUCUAUUCCUCAGUUUUCUUAACUGUAAAAUGGGGGGUAAAAUUUACAUUAUAAUGUAAAUUUGGUAAGGUUGUUAUAAAGAUUGAAGGAGAAAAUAUAAGUGAAGCCCUUAAUAUACUUCUAUCCCACAAUAAGCUUCAGUGGAGGGGAGUUUAAAAAAUAAGAUAUA
ensembl:lncRNA